UACGUAGGGAGCAAGCGUUAUCCGGAUUUAUUGGGUGUAAAGGGUGCGUAGACGGGAAUUUAAGUUAGUUGUGAAAUCCCUCGGCUCAACUGAGGAACUGCAACUAAAACUGAAUUUCUUGAGUGCGGGAGAGGAAAGUGGAAUUCCUAGUGUAGCGGUGAAAUGCGUAGAUAUUAGGAGGAACACCAGUGGCGAAGGCGACUUUCUGGACCGUAACUGACGUUGAGGCACGAAAGUGUGGGGAGCAAACAGG
rnacentral:rRNA from 1 species